rnacentral:tRNA from 1 species
CAGGGAGACAAAAAUAGAUUGUGAUGUCUAAGUAAUUUAUUCUUAGGCCGCAAUCCUGUCACCUUAAGGUCGAUCGGUACCUCAGAUUUUUGAAUUGUUUUUAUAAUUAAUUCUUGAUUUCAGUUCCUAAACUUGUCUAGGUCACACCCAACAAAGGUUUCUCCUGGGCCAUUAGCUCAGGUGGUUAGAGCGCACCCCUGAUAAGGGUGAGGUCCCUGGUUCAAGUCCAGGAUGGCCCAUUCGUUGUUGGGGGUAUAGCUCAGUUGGUAGAGCGCCUGCUUUGCAAGCAGGAUGUCAGCGGUUCGAGUCCGCUUACCUCCACUGAAACUAUCCUGAUAACUAAUUUCUGGAGAAAAAUUUAAGAUGUGACUUAGAACUGUCUACUUGAAAAGAACCUAGCUUCUUAUCAUCUUAUGAAAAGUUGAUAAUAUGCUGGGCUCUCAUGGAUUUAUUCCAUUUGAAUUCAGUAGAACCUUGAAAACUGCAUAGAUUAGAAAGAAUAAAGCAUCUCAUGGAUGCAUAAUUCGGAUUUGAUUUUUUAGUUUUAAAACUAAAUUAUCAACUCUCAGAAUUCAUGUUUAAUUCUUGAGUAAUAGCCGAGCACAAUUGAUUUUGUGUUUGUAUUUAAA